UACGUAGGGGGCAAGCGUUGUCCGGAAUCAUUGGGCGUAAAGAGCUCGUAGGCGGUUCGACAAGUCGGGUGUGAAAACUCCGGGCUCAACCCGGAGACGCCACCCGAUACUGUCGUGACUGGAGUCCGGUAGGGGAGUGGGGAAUUCCUGGUGUAGCGGUGAAAUGCGCAGAUAUCAGGAGGAACACCGGUGGCGAAGGCGCCACUCUGGGCCGGUACUGACGCUGAGGAGCGAAAGCGUGGGUAGCAAACAGG
rnacentral:rRNA from 1 species